rnacentral:rRNA from 1 species
AACGUAGGAGACAAACGUUAUCCGGAGUUACUGGGCGUAAAGGGCGUGUAGGUGGUUAUGUAAGUCUGGCGUGAAAUUUUUCGGCUUAACCGGGAAAGGUCGUCGGAUACUGCAGAACUAGAGGACGGUAGAGGCGUGUGGAAUUCCGGGUGUAGUGGUGAAAUGCGUAGAGAUCCGGAGGAACACCAGUGGCGAAGGCGACACGCUGGGCCGUACCUGACACUGAUGCGCGACAGCAUGGGGAGCAAACAGG